rnacentral:rRNA from 1 species
AUAUUGGACAAUGGGGGCAACCCUGAUCCAGCCAUGCCGCGUGUGUGAAGAAGGUCUUCGGAUUGUAAAACCCUUUAAGUUGGGAGGGAGGGCUUUAGGUUAAUACCCUGAAGUUUUGACGUUACCAACAGAAUAAGCACCCGCUAACUCUGUUCCCGCCGCCGCGGUAAUACAGAGGGUUCAAGCGUUAAUCGGAAGUACUGGGCGUAAAGCGCGCGUAGGUGGUUCAGGAAGAUGGGUGUGAAAUCCCCGGGCUUAAACUGGGAACUGCUUUCAUAACUGCUGGGCUAGAGUACGGUAGAGGGUAGUGGAAUUUCCUGUGUAGCGGUGAAAUGCGUAGAUAUAGGAAGGAAAACCAGUGGCGAAGGCGACUACCUGGACUGAUACUGACACUGAGGUGCGAAAGCGUGGGGAGCAAAC